rnacentral:rRNA from 1 species
UACGAAGGGGGGCUAGCGUUGUUCGGAAUUACUGGGCGUAAAGCGCGCGCAGGCGGUCUUCCAAGUCACCUGUGAAAUCUCUGGGCUCAACUCAGAGUCUGCAGGCGAAACUGCCGUGCUGGAGUAUGGGAGAGGUGCGUGGAAUUCCCGGUGUAGCGGUGAAAUGCGCAGAUAUCAGGAGGAACACCAAUGGCGAAGGCAGCUCGCUGGGCGUGACUGACGCUGGAGACGCGAAAGCGUGGGGAGCAAACAGG